rnacentral:rRNA from 1 species
ACGGAGGGAGCUAGCGUUGUUCGGAAUUACUGGGCGUAAAGCGCGCGUAGGCGGUUUUUUAAGUCAGAGGUGAAAGCCCAGUGCUCAACACUGGAACUGCCUUUGAAACUGGAAAACUUGAAUCUUGGAGAGGUCAGUGGAAUUCCGAGUGUAGAGGUGAAAUUCGUAGAUAUUCGGAAGAACACCAGUGGCGAAGGCGACUGACUGGACAAGUAUUGACGCUGAGGUGCGAAAGCGUGGGGAGCAAACAGG